rnacentral:lncRNA from 1 species
UGACGAAACACCUUCUCAAUUAUAUUUAACAACCAGCUCAGACCAGAGAUAUGGCAACGACGUGGGCAAUAGUGUCUUAACCAAUGAUGGCGACGACCUCGGGGAGUCGAUAGUCUAAUCUAUAUAAUUUGAGGGUGGUGCAUGGAUCGCAAAACCGUAUUUUACAUGUCGUCUAAGAUUUAAAUCAUCGAAUUUGACAAGAUAUUGAUUAAGUUUAUACAUGGAAGGGGGAGAGAAAGACAGUGGAUGAUUUUGAGCAGAUGCGACAGAACUUACACUAUGCAGACACAAAGCGAAAAUUAUCAUAUUCAUAAUCGUCGUAUCAUGGAGAAUCGUUUGACCAGCAACAGUAUGGUGAUGGUCAUGCUUCACCGAGCAAUUGUACGUUGUUCGAUCUUAUGAUACAAAACAACAAAUCAAUAGCAAAAGUAGAAGUUUUGACAUUCUUCAUGCUCCGCACUAAUACAUGUCAUAAUCGUACUUGCCUCUGGAGCCACCUCACACACGUGUGAUUCAUGACGAUCAAACUACGACCAUCACUAUAUUGAUGCACCAAUGACAUACGGUGUAUUAGUAUAUUAUGUCGUGAGAUCAAUUUUAGGAUUGGGUCUAACAAAUAUAUCAAAUUGAUAUACAGAUACAUAGGAUCGAGGACCUUGGUCCAUUUCCUAUGGAGUCUCAUUUUUACUCGCAUCUCUCUCUCAUUCUCACAUUUUCAUUCUCCUACACUCAACAAGGCUACGAUUUAUGGAUUGGAUUAAAUUUGGGAUGAUUAAGAAGAAGAUCCCUCUCGAUUAGAAUGUGGCGAAAAGAGUCGGACAACAUCGAGUCAAAUUACUCUAGAAAUUAGAGACACCCAACUGUCACAAUCGUUCCCCCGACAUACAACGACAAAGGUAAAGGGGAAGGCAGUGGCAUCAAUCGCACCGUUGGAAAGAAUCGAGUCGAGUGACGAAACACCUUCUCAAUUAUAUUUAACAACCAGCUCAGUCCAGAGAUAUAGCAGCGACGUGGGCAGUAGUGUCUUAACCAAUGAUGGCGACGACCUCGGGGAGUCGAUAGUCUAAUCUACAUAAUUUGAGGGUGGUGCAUGGACCGCAAAACAGUAUUUUACGUGCCGUCUAAGAUUUAAAUCAUCGAAUUCGACAAGAUAUUGAUUAAGUUUAUACAUGGAAGGGGGAGAGGAAGGCAGUGGAUGAUUUUGAGCAGAUGCGACAGAACUUACACUAUGCAGACACAAAGCGAAACUUAUUAUAUUAAUAGUCGUCGUAUCAU